UACAGAGGUCUCAAGCGUUGUUCGGAUUCACUGGGCGUAAAGGGUGCGUAGGCGGUCUGGUAAGUCUGACGUGAAAUCUCCGGGCCUAACCCGGAAACUGCGUCGGAUACUAUCCGGCUAGAGGAUUGGAAGGGAGACUGGAAUACUUGGUGUAGCAGUGAAAUGCGUAGAUAUCAAGUGGAACACCAGUGGCGAAGGCGAGUCUCUGGACAAUUCCUGACGCUGAGGCACGAAAGCGUGGGGAGCAAACAGG
rnacentral:rRNA from 1 species